UGCAUUGUAUACUCACAGCCACGUCUGGACAGGACCUGCCCUUUCGUGCUGCCAUAGUCCAGCACCUCAGCUGAAACCUGAGCCUGGUGUCCCCUCUCCCCCUCCUUGGUUAUCUACUCCCCAGCUUUGAGAGAGCCAACAGGAUAUUUAAUAGCAAGCUGCCUGCAGAAAGCAGAUGCCUGCUGCCAAGCAGAGGGAGCAGGUCAGAGCUGCAGAGAGCACCUUGGGAAGGGCAACAACAAGCAGCCCCACAGACGUGCCCAGGAGCCCGGCAUCUCACAGUUGGAGCCCUGCUCUAAUCUCUUCUGGCAGUGCCAUCGUUCUCACUCCCACCCUGGGAGGAGCUCCACCAGCUCCUUCUGCAUAUCACUGAUAAACGAAGGGAGGGUCUCAACAUUGCCUCCUUC